UUAGCCAUGACGUUCAGAACGUACAGAUUUCAGUACAUUUUUCAGCCACGGUGUUCUGGAGCUAAAAAGUAUAUCACAUUUCAGUAUACUUUUUACUAAAAAGUGUACUGAAAUGUGAUAUACUUUUUAGCUCCAGAACGCCGUGGCUGAAAAAUGUAUUGAAAUCUGUACGUUCUGAACGCCAUGGCUAA
rnacentral:pre_miRNA from 1 species